rnacentral:rRNA from 1 species
GCGUGGGUGAAGAAGGCCUUAGGGUUGUAAAACCCUUUCAGUCGUGAAGAUGAUGACGGUAGCGACAGAAGAAGCCCCGGCUAACUCCGUGCCAGCAGCCGCGGUAAUACGGAGGGGGCAAGCGUUGUUCGGAAUUACUGGGCGUAAAGGGCGCGUAGGCGGAAGAUCAAGUCAGGGGUGAAAGGCCUGGGCUCAACCCAGGAAUUGCCUUUGAAACUGAUCAUCUAGAGACCGGGAGAGGAUAGCGGAAUUCCCAGUGUAGAGGUGAAAUUCGU